rnacentral:misc_RNA from 1 species
AGACGUCACCUCCCAUUUCCUUAUUAUUUUUGCACGCUCGCCCCAUUCGUCUUCGCUCGUGUCUUCCUCGAGACCCCCACAAGCCUCAUCUCACCACAUCACAUGAAAGCAUAGGUACAUCAAAAGAGCGUGUGUGUAUGCCCUUUGGCUGUGUGGUGUGCGUGUUAUCCCCUCCCCACCCCUUAUUUGUCAAGCGACUGGUUUCUCCUCUCUUUUUUUGUUUGCAUUUCUUAGUUGGAGUCAGGGCGGUUACGACACACGCACCCACGCACGGCAGGGAACCAAAAUUCUUUCAAGUCUUGCACGCACCCCCCCGCCUCUCCGGCCCUUCUCUCUAUCCCCUCUCCCACACACACAGAGACACCGACCCCCCGCCACGCACAGGCGUCACCCGUUCGAGCGAGAAAAUACGAAAAAAAAAACAUAAGGGGAAAAUAAGCAGGGGAAAAAGGCACACGUUAGUUUUUCGAUUUUUUGUUUUCCGCUGUAUUCACUCGAAUCUCUCUCUUGGCCUGAGUGUGUUCUUUCUAUAUAUUCAUAUAUAUAAUUUUGUGUGUGUGUUUGUGUCUGUGCGCUCGCGCGUUUGAGUACCGCCUUGAGUGUGUGCGUUUUUUUUUUCUUUUUUUUUGUGCAGCUGUCGUUGUUUUGGUCUUUACGGCCACAGUGUUCUUGUCUAGGCGUUUGCUUUUGCCCCCUCCUCCCUUGGUUUGUGUUUGUCCUGCACUCCUGCGCAAAGCUGCACGCGCCUGCACGCAUCACAGCAUCCACCUACACGUAUCUCGUAUUUUUUUGUGUGUGUGGAGCUUGUCGUCUUGUGUUCGAGUGUCUGACUGCGCUUCACACGUGCUACCCCACCCCUUCGCUCACAUACGACACUUCACCGCCCCUCCUCCCCACCACGCCUUACCCCAUCCCCCGAUCCCUCCCCUCUCUCUACUUUUCUCGAUUUCGCUUUAUUGGGUUUUUUUUCUUCUGCGCAGAUCGCGCACCAACAAGAAAAAAAGCACAAAAGGAAAGGGCGCAGGGAAAACACCCACAGGCAAAUACAAGCGCACGCGCGUCGUAUGCGGACCCGCUCCGAUCAAGAAAAAAAAGGAAAGGAAAGCACAGCCAUAUAAAAGGGAUUGGGCGGAAAAUCUAGAGGACGAGUGAAAAGAAGAAUAAAACAGAAAAAAAACAAGGAGCGAAUCCGUGAAUAAAAUUUCUCAGGCAACGCGUCUCUCAUCCUCUCCCGUGUUUGCAUCCACCCUUCUAUUCCGCCCAUCUCCUGCUUCGCUUUUCACCACUCAGCACCCCUUUCGCCCUUUCCUCUCGCACUCACUCGGCCCGCCUUUGCUUUGCUCUUUUUGUCUCUCUCUCUCUCUCUGUGUGUGUGUGUGUGUGUGCAGCAGCAUUGAACUCUGUGGGACUCGCGCAGAGUAUCGAGGCAAGAGAGAGAGAUACAAGAAAAAAAAAAUAACGCGGAAGCAUUUCAGCGGAAAAUUGCAAAGCAGGAUUAGACGAGCAUCAAAAACAGGUAAAGGAAGCACGACCAUACCCUUGCGAAGGAACACGGCUACAAAGUUUUUCGCCUUUCCCUCUCGCCCUCGGCCACGCACGUGACAGUAGACGUGGUCUCUCUACUUUUUCCCCCUUUUCUGGCCUGUAUAAGUUCGAUUCUGUUACUUUGUUUCAUUUUCUUUUUUUUUCCUACGGCUCGAGUCUUUCUGCCACCACCACCACCACCCCCUCGUUGCGAGACGUCAAGUAAGCCAAAGCCAACAAGGUGAAUACGGAGAGGGAAACUUUACAUACGCAGGUAGACACGCGUGCAGCAAAGGAAAGAAGGAAUCUCUCAUUUUGGUUUUGUUUUCGGUUCACGUUUUACCAUCAUCGCGCUAACUAAUAAUCAGAAAUUCACAAAUACGCAAGCCAUACACGCAUACACACACGCACUGCAGCACCACGAACAGCGCGAAAGGGAAGCCAGAGAUUGGAAAAAAGGACCUAAGAAAAAGUGUUCGCAUCCGGUUUAAUUCGAAGAGGCGAACGAAGACCCGUCAAGGGCAGCGUAACAAGCAGUCACGCAAAGGCACAAUAAAACAAUAUUUGGAAAGGGAAAAAAACAAGGAAGUUUUUGCUUUCGUGACACGUCGCGCCUCAACACUUUGGCUACUCGACUUUCCUUCUCUUGCUCCCUCCCCCUUUUGCUCGUUCUCGACCUCGUUUACUGCUUCUGAAGUGCACCUGAAUAUAUAUCUCCUCGUCCUUUUCGGCAGCUCACCAUCACCCCUCCUCCACGGUCGCUCUCUCCUUUUUUUUCGUUUCUCUUCGCAGGAGCCUCCUCCUCUUCCCCAUACCGUUGAUCGAUCAUAUUGACAUUAUCUUUCUCUCUUUCCUUUACGCCUGUUCUGCUUUUUUUUUGUUUGGCCGUUUUCUUUUUUUUUGUCUUUCUUUGUUUUUAAUUUCUUCUCUUUGGCCCACUCUCUCUUCUUUUGUGCGACCGUUCUCUAUUUUUCCACUCUCCCUGUUCACCACCCGUCCACCCCUCUCCUCCUCCUCCUCCUCCCCCUCCCCCACGCACACAAAGAGAGCGUGUGUGUUUCUUCUUUAUUUUUCACUUUCACUUGCUAAUCCGCACUGUAAGGAUAUCUUGUCGUUGUUUGUGCCUCUUUUUUCUGUUUUUUUUUUACCAUUUUACUGUGAAAUUCUCCUUUGUGCGUCUACGCCUGUGUCUGUCAGUCUCUGUGUGUGUGUGUGUGUGUGGCUGUUCCUUCGUUUUUGAUUUGCUGUUUUCCGUCAUUGUUGUGCUCUUGUGAAAUUCAGGCAUAUAUAGUAGAAGGAAAACAGAAGUAUUUUUUUCUCUGGUGCACCUGUGUGAUUCCAUCUUUGCGCUUAUCUUUUUUGUUGCUCUUUUUCGUUCUCCUUCUGUUUGCCCUUUUCGCACUGGUCUCGUUUUGUGUGUAGCGGCGGUGGUCUCUCAAACUUCCCUCCCACCCACCCACGCUCGCGAUUAUUAUUUUUUCCCCUGCUUCACGUGCGCUCGUGUCUGUCUGUCUUUGGUGAAGCCUUCCCACCACCCCAAAUAAAAGGAAAAUAAAAGGAAUACUCCUCACAGAGUCAGUGAAGCAUAGCUCCUCUCUCUCUCUCGCUCAAUUGCCCGCUCCAGUUUGUUUUCCUUUUUUUGUGCAUUUUUUUCUGUUUCUCCCUAUCACCUCCCUCCACACACACACACACACACACACAUACACCUCUUUUCGCUUCUUUCCUUGCCCACACGCACGCCGCCCUACGUACAACAUUGGGGUGUUUCUCUGCAUUCUACACUUUUUUUCUUCGUCGUUGCUUCGCCUCGGUGAGUCUCUCUGUCUGUUAUCUUCACUGUGGAACUCUCCCUCAUCCAACGCAGUUGUGUGUGUGUGUGUGUGUAUGUGUGUGUGCAAGCGGAGAACGGAUAAAUAAACGAUAUAAAGCAAAAAAAAAACACACAAAGAAACGGUCAGUGUACAGCACCAAUAAAAGAGUGUGGAAACAGCGUCGUUUUAUUUAGUUUUCUUUCAACUCUACAUAAUUUCUUUUGUACCCUUUUGUGCGCGCUUUCUUUUUUUCUUCCUCGCGUUGCUCGUACUCCGUCUCGUGAAAGGCUUCUCCGUAUUUCUUUUAGUGUUCUCCCUUCUCCUAACUGCAGGUCUCUUGUCUCUUUUUUGUUUAUAUUGUUUGUUCGGCCUGUUUUCAUCUUUCUCCGUUGUUGUUUCUUCGCCCUCCCUCCCUUCUCUUCCUACUUGCGCGUUUGCGUGUCUGUCGUGAGUUUGUACCUCCUCCCACCCCCUUCUCCCUUGCGUUUUGGUUCUUUUUUUCGUUGUCUCUCUCUCUCUUUUCCUGCUUCUGACCCUCACAGACGUGGACAGACGCUCGCACUUAUACGCAACGAAAAGUGUAUAACUGACAACGGAUUACUACAAGAUAAAAGCAUUCUAAGAAAAAAGGGAAAACUCGCUAUACGCACAAGCAAUACGGCUGAAAGGUACACUCCUUCCCCACCCCCUACCUCUUUCUCUGUUUCAUUUUUUUGUUGUUGUUGCUCUCCUCUAUCUUUCUCGUAUUGUCCUCGUGCAGUUUUGUUUGUUUUGCUGGUUCCUUUUCGAAUUUCUUGCUGCCUCUUCUCUCCCUACUUUGGGGUGUUUGCGUCGGACGGCUCCUGUCGGGUCCCUUCUUCUCCCCCUCUCGAUUUCCUUUCAUCAGCUACACAAGCACAGCGUCCGCUCAGCGAUCACAGCACGUCCUGGCACCGCCAACUCUCAAGCAACUUCGCCAACGACACCCUCCACCGCCUUCAACGCGUUCCGCGUGAAAACGAGCGGGCAUAGCACUCAGCACGCCACUAGUGGCCCUACCCCCAAGCAUUCAGCGCCGUAAGAGCCCUGUGAAGACUUCUCCUUCGAAGGUUUCUCGGCCAACGUCACGGGCGCCUACGGCCUUGCUGUGGUCGAGAAGAUUCUCUGGGGUGUCGUCGGCAACCUGGCCCACUCACCCGUCAGCAACAACUGCGCGACGCUGUCCCUCUCCAUGCACACGCCACCCCUCUCAAAUGGAUCCCUGCACGAGCAGGCCCACGCGGCGACGAGCUCCGAGGACAGCCGACGCGAUAGCCUCACACACGCCACCUGGAUCGCCAUUACGUCCCUCACAGGGCAGCAGAACUCGCAGUUUGGCGCCAACGAACGCUCGCCUGGCUGCGCUACCAUCGCGUCGAUCGGCUAUCCGGAAAUGGACUCGUCGCCGUCGUGGCAGUCGCUCUCGAAUCAAGAGUCCUUUAAAGCCGCCCACGCUUCUCCCUCCGGCGCGGCGCCGAACAAAAGCGCCCUCAAAAGCAGCGACGGCAGCGACGGCAGCGCCAGCAACUCCAGUACGAACACACCAACGGCAGUGGCGGCACCGGCUGCCAGCUCCGCACCGAGCAGCAACGCGGCCUCGCACUACAAGACGAAGCGAUGCCGGCACUUUGAUCAGUCUGGAUGGUGCCCGUACCAGCACCGGUGCGUAUUUGCCCACGGUGACCGCGAGUUUGCUCUUUACACGGCACAAAAGAAUGGCGGCAACGGCGGCAACUCCGAGGACGGCGGUCCAACGACCUCGAAGCUCGUGCGAGAGCACAUUGAGCGCAACGUGCAGCAGCUUGUGGAAGAAUACGAGCUGGCUGUGGCGGAGGCGAGCGCCAAGGCUGCGGCGAGGAGCAACAGCGCCGGUGGCCCUUCCCACGCCCACGGUCAUCGAGGCCCACAGAUGGGCAACGGCAGCAAGGGGCCAACGAUGCCCGUUGCCCGAAAAGUGUCGCCCACUCAGCCCUCGCCCCUCUCGUCUGCCACAACACAGCACCACGCAUCGAAUGUACAUAUCCUCACCGCCACCUCUCUGGCGCCUCAAGCCGUGAUGGCGAUCAAGGGCGCGUCGAACUCGAUGGCGCAGUUCCAGGCUUUGCAGCCACAGAACUCUCAGCAGCACCAGACACAUCAGCAGCAGUUUGCCCUCAUUGGCCAGCAGCCCCUUCUCAUCUCCACAGUGAGUGGGGUCCUUGCCGGCUCCACCUUUGCCAUGGUGCCGUCGAGCUCACCACUGGCGGUCACCCCGCAGUCUCUCCACGCUCUCCUUUCGCAUUAUCAGCAGCGGUCGAUGCUGUUCGCGAUGCCGGCUGGCGCGCCGGGUGUCCUCCAGCUACAGCAGCACCAGCAGCAACCGAUCUACUUCAUCGAGGCUCCCUCCUACAAUAGCAUGGCCGCGAACGGCGGCAACGCUGCGGUGCCCGCGUACCCCUCUGGCUACACAAGUGGCCCCGCUGGACUUUUCAACGAUGUUUUGGCGGCUCGCUUCAUGUGACUGCGCAAACCCUCGGCGUUCACGCGAGGAAAAAAAGCAAGGCCACGAAGAGAUAUGCAUCGAAGGGCACGGGGAAAUAGGGAAUGUGGCAAGAGCGGGAGAAGGAAUAGUAGAUAGAUGAUCUUUCGCCCCUUCCCAUCCUCUGCUCUCUCAAGCGUGCUGAGCUUUUUUCACAUGAAUUUUUACUUUUUGUCUGUCUAUUUCCUCAUUUCUUUUUUUUUUCGUUCUGUCUUUGAUUGCUCGGCACGCAGCCCUCACGUUUGCGUCCCCGUGUGUGCGCGUAUGCGGGUAUUUCGGUGUGCUCCUUGUUUGGGAUGCCUCCUUCUUCCUUAUUCUAUAUUGUAUUGCCCUACACCGUUUCUGUUCCUUGUGCGCUCGGGUGCUUUACUGUUCUCAUGUUUAUGCCUUUGUCGUUCUAUUUUCUCUGUGCGUCUGUGUCUCACACGCCCCCCCCCCUUCCUCGCCUCUCUACGUACGAAUUUGUCGCCCCUCUGUCCUCCCCUUCUUUCACACAAUUCGCGCAACAUCAUCGCCAUAAGCAAUAUAAAGUCUUCCAUCUCCUCAGGGAGUAAAAAAAAGCAGCUGCAAUGUUAACGAAAGAAGGCAGAGGCAACUUUUAAGAGGGCUGGCAGUGAAAGGUAGGCAACACACACACACACACACACACAUGCGCACAGCCAUUGAUGUAGAGAGCACGUAAUAACGAAGAAGAUGCGAAGGAAGAAUAUGCAUUUUUUUUUCUUACCAACGUCGCCAUCGCAGCACCACAAAGAAGGCAGGAAAAGUAUGCGUGCAUCGAGAACCACACUUCAACUACCUCUGUUGCACCACGACUACAUUCUGGUUCUGUAGGACGAAACCAUCUGCCGCUGAAUCGGGCCAUGCGUCUAGCGGGUUCUUGUCCUUCCUCGUUCCUUCUUUUGGGUACGUGCUGCGUAAUCGACGCCAGAAGGAGAGUCGCGUGAGCUGCACGCUUCGAUCCUCGCGGCCUUUGUCCAGGGGCCUGCUCGAGAGCAGAAAGCGGUGGCUUCUGGUGUGCAUGUAACACGGUACGGUCCAGGCGCAUGCCGGAUGAGCUCAAGGAAACAGUUGGCCAGCCGCAGGCCAGGGCCCACUGAGACCCCUUGCACACUCUGCCCGUAUGCCGUGCUUCGCCCUUUCAGUGGCUUCAAGCCGUGGCAUCCCAUAAUCUGCUCCGGAGACCCGUCACAUUCGGGUCUGGAGGACUCGAUGGUGCCAGUCUGGGGUGUUCUCGUCACGCCUCCGGCAUCUGUGCCGCAUCAGCCUACCCGGUCGGAUGUAGGGCGUAUGCCGCAUGCUUCGCGCACAUGCACUUUGGGGUUGAUCGGCGCGGAUCUCCUCGCGCCGUUUCCGUGCAUCGCUCGUACUCCGCUGACCUCUGGAUGCUUUGCUUGGAUGCGAAACACCAUGCUGGCUGUGCAUGGCAGCGCGUGCGCACAAUGAUCGCACUAGUGGAUCUUGGGGCCUGCUACGGGGGCGGCGUUGCUGCCUCGGGGGGCGUGGUUGGACGGCCUGCGCGCAUGUGCCGCGAUGGUUAGGCCACUGCCAUGAAUCUAUGUCAGUAGGCGGGGGAGGGGCAUACCGCCUUCUCCGAAGCCCGCACGCCUCUGGCUGCAGUGAGUGUGUCGAGCGGAGGGAGAGGGCCCGCGGAUAAGCACGUGGCUGCGCACGAAGAGGAAGGAAAACGACAGGAGGGAACAAAAGACGCAACACGGAAGAUGAACGUUUUGCUUGGGCAAUCUCGCUCUCCUCAGUUCUCUGAAGCCGUUUUUUUUUUCUUUUGCUGGCUCUUUGUAUCUACGUAGUUUCCGCUAGUGCUCUUGUUUCCUACGUUGUCCCUAUUUAUCUUUCUCGUCUCUUACCACCUUCUUCACACCCCCACACCCGCUUUUCACAAUCGCUGUCUACACGAAAGAAAAAAAAACUAUAUUGUCCCUUUUUCUUCUUCCGUUGUACAGGUCUGUAUAUAAAUCCGUUUACCUGUGUGUGCGCACGUCUUCCUUCUUUUUUUUUUACACGCGUGGGGAUUUAGUGGUGAGUGUUUGGCUCCAUGUGCUAUCUUCUUCCCCACCCACUCACUUCCCUAUCCCCACUCCCCUCCCUCUCCCUUGUUCACAGACCCUAUACGACUCCGUGUUCUUCUCGUUCUUGGCGCUCCUUCUUUCUCUCUCCGCACGGUCGUUGUUUCGUUUUUUGUGUCUUCUCCCUCCUUGGUUUUUUUACACUCGUGUGGGUGUCGAUAUUAGCACCCUCGUUUGGUUUUGAACUUUUCUUUGGUGUGGGUGUGUGUCUUCCUGAUGGUUGUCGUUGUUCUGCAUGUGACGCAUUUCUUUUUUGAUUAUUGGCUUGUAUUCGGUCUCUAUAACGCUGAGUCCACUUUUUCUUUAUGGUGACUUUGGUUGUGCAGAAGCGUGUCCUGUCCUCUGCUUCCUCUCGGCCUCACUUACUUGUUUACUCCUUCGCCUAUCUACCUACACACCUACAUACCCCCUCCCCCUUCUCCCUCUCCUUAUUCUUUCCUCUCCGCCUUCUUUAUUCACUAUCAACCCAACGCACCGUGUCUUCAGCUGUCUCUCUCUCCGUCUCGCCUCUUCUAUUUCCACGCCUUCUUUCUGAUCUUCUCCCUCGUGUGUGCAUGUGUUUGUGCGUGUGUUCUCCUCGCCUUACUCUUGUCCUCACCCCUUCCGCUCUUUUUCAUUUCAGACGUGCCUCACAGACAAACGCAAGUGUGGGUCGUCGUGCACGCUUAGAUUGGGCAGAAGGUAAAGGAGGGCAGAGGGAGGCCUUCCUCCUCUGGCUCCCUUUCGCCGGGGUUGCUGUGUGUUUGUGUCUUUUUGGUGUAUGCUGUCCAUUCCCCUGCUCAUGUACGUCACGUUGUUUCUCCCGAGUUUUCUGCGAAGCGUGUGUGUAUGCCUUUUGGGGCUCUAAUCUCGUGUUUUCUCUCUUGCUCCCUGACUCACUGUGCUUCCGCCAGGCAAGCGCAGCCGUUGUUUCUUCCUCCCUCACCCCAGAUACACUACGUUGCUCUAUUUCCGUUGACAGUCACCAUGGACGCACGUGCGCCUUUUACUUUCCCCACCUCCCUGUUGCGCUGGCUGCUGCGUUGCCCACCCCCCCCCAUCAGAUUAUUUUUGUUUGCUGGCGUUCUCGUUCUUGCGAGAUAUUUGCGCCUUGUGCACCAAACGGAGCCACGUACACGCUACAUGUUGUUGUGCGUGGAUGUGCGCAAGCGUUGGCGUGCAUGUUUGAUUGUGCGAAAGUGGGUUGCCGACGAGUCGGCCCUUCCGUACAUGUCCCUCUGCCCUCCUCAUCUCCACUCAUCAACCAGAUUCAAACCGCUGUUGUUUGUUCGACCCUUCGACGCUGCUUUCUCUCUUUUAUGUGUGUUUUAUUUGUGUGUGUGUGUGUGUGUGUGUGUGUGUGUGCUCGUCUUGUCUUUCUUUCCCCGAUUAAGAAAAAUAUCGUGCUCUCUCCCUCUCGUUGUUACCUUCUCAGCCGUGUCGCGCUGAAUGCUGAGCACCUUUUUUGUUGUUGCUAUUGUCCUCUGAUUGUUUCUUGCUUCUUCGCUCUCUGGCUCUCCCAAAACCCAUACAGACACAGAGGCCCACACACAUGCACACGCACAUGUAUCUGCCUACCGUUCUAGGAACAAGGUAAAGACCUCUCUCGCCCUUCCCCUUCGCGCGGGUACGUAUGUGCGUAUAUGUGUGUGCGUGUAUGUGUGCAUAGAUGGGGGAAGUUAUUCGAUUCUGUCGCUGUUGCUUUCUUUUUUUUUCGCUUCCUGUUCCCGACGGGGCUUCUCCUCGCUUCUCUCUUCCACUAUUUUUUGGCGCGCAUUCCCAUCUCUUUUUUGAGGAUGUAGGCGUAUCCCAGUCAACCCCUCCCCCUUCAUUUAGCACCUUUAUACACACGUGUAUGCGGCAUGCAUGGCCCACCUUACUCGUGAAGAACAGCGGGGCACGCAGGCAACUGGUCGCACUGGAGCGCAGUAGGGUAAGGCCUCCCUACAAGCUCACACCCACCGUUUUUCUACUCCCCACACCCCGCACGCUCUGCCCUGAUGCCUUUUCUCUCCUAGUCAUUUUCAGUGCUACCGGAAUCCUCGAAGAGAAGUAAAGCAAGAAGGCGAAGAGAAAAUCACCGAAAGCACGCCGCCACCCGCUCGGUGCUAGUGGGCAUCUGUUCUUCAUAUCCAUCUUACUUUUCUGGUGAUUUCGUUUUUACUCUCUGGUCCGGCAGGUACGUGCGCGUGCACAUCUCUCGUGGGAGGACUGCACAACGUGUUUUAUUUCGUUUCUAGCGCUCACGUACGCACAAGGACGCACACAUGCACGGCACUCACGACGAGCCGGAUACACGGCAAAGACAAAAAUGCCAAUAAGAGAUACGCAUAGCACUCGUAAGUAGAUACGUGUCUGCUUUCCUCUUUCUGUAUUUAUAUGUGUUCUUUUCUUUUGAGCGCACCUGUGUAUCGCUGUGUCCUUUUUCUCUCUCCCCUCCCCUCCUUCCCCCCCCCACACACACAAAAACAUCUCGGCUGCGCGUGUGUGUUGAAAGCAACAACAGAGAGCAGGAAAGUAGAGCGUCGAGGGUGAAGAAAUUACCUGUAUGGUUCUUUUAUUUGUUUCUCCGUUUGUGUGUGUGUGUGCGUGCCUGUGUCUGUGUUUUGCUUCAUGUUGGUUUGUCUUUGUUCGCGUGUUUGCUGUCUUCUAUGGUUCUUCCGGCGCUUCCUUCCUCUCUCUUCGUCUUCCACCCACCCACCCACACCCAUCAUCAUCCCUCCUUUUCUUUGUUCCCUUGUUUGCCUCUUCUCGUAUACAUGGUUUCCCUUUCCUUUUUUGGUUUCGUGUACCUCGACUCUCUGGAUAUAUAUAUAUAUGUGUGUUUGUCUCUACCUAUCUGUGUAUGUCCUGUCUGAGUGGGUCCCCCCUUCCCCUCCUCUUCCAUUACCAUCUCUCUCCCCAUAUUGUUUCUCAGCUUUUCCAACCUCUGUAUCUCUCUCUUAUUUUUUUUAUUCUUUGACUCCUCCCUCGGAUUCCGUUCAUAGCCACCACAUGGCUGCAUCUCUCGCGCCUUGUUUAGCUCGGUUGCUUUUUAAUAUAUACAUAUACAUAUAUAUAUAUAUAUGUGUGUGUAUGUGUUUUCUCUCUCUCGUUCUGUUGCUCUCCGUGGGUGUUUUCUUCUUUCGCCUUCUCUCCAUCUUCCGGGUCGACUUCCCUUUUUUUCCUUUCGGCUGCUGUGGCACGUGUUUGGGUGUAUGUCUGGAUUUGUGUGCGUGCGCGUCUGCAUCUUCCAACCCUAUCUCUCUACCCUACCCCCUCCCUCCAACCUUGUAGGGUCUCCUUCCUCUUGUCGUCUCCGGUUUGCUGUACUGCGUCCCUCCACAGCUUUCGGUGUGCGCUACUGGUUAUUUCCUGGGCAUCCGCAUCCCUUGCUUUACUCGGACAUGUAAGUGUCAAGGAAUGCACGUACCCUUACUUCCAAUGGUGCCAUCCUAUUCCCUUCGACGACGCCGCAUCUCUCUCCACGCACACACUCAUGAGCACCUGCCAUGGCAGCGGGCCAAAAACAAUAAAGGAAACAGAUCCUUUUGUUUUCACUGUCACCUAACAAUCCCGUUCACCCACGCGCUGUGGUCGACUCCCUCCUCCUGCCAUCCCUCGUUUAGGUUGGCUGAGGGCGGACGAGGCUGUGCGUCUCUGUCCGUUCUCUCUCUUUUUUUCGCUUCUGUGGCUUUCCCUUCCGUUCUCUUUUUUGCUCCUCCACCCUGCGCUCGACGUUCCCCUCUUUUUUUUCAUUUUCCCCUUUUUUUCUCUGUGUGUGUGUGUGUGAGCUUUUGAUCUCGCUGUGUGAUGUGUACGUCGUAUCUACCACACUUUCGCAACCUCCACCCCCUCCCCUUCCCCCUCCGUCUCUCUUCUUUUUGUUUAGCACGGAUGGCGUAAGGAGGGUUUGUCUCCUUUUUACGUCCAUCGCCCCUCCCUCCCUCUAUGCGUCACUGCUUUCGCGCAUGCCUUUUUUGUGUGUGUCCAGGUUUGUGUCUCUGCGUGUGUCCACUGAUGUUUUCCUUCUCCCGCAGCUCUCAAGAAAAAAAAAGAAGGUAGAACAAAACGCAAAUACGCACGAAAAGGAACGUCUUCUCUCCUCGUUUCCCAAUUAAGCGUUCACAUAAGCUCCCCUGUUGGCGCCUCGCCCCCCCCGCCCUUCUCCGCCUCCGUUUUGUCGUGUGCGUGGUCGCAGUUUGCUAGCCUUACGAUGUUUUCUUCCUCUUGUUGCUGAUCUCUUGGAGCACCGAUGGCUGUCGCGGCUAACGCUCCCCUUUCCUGAGUGCACAAGCAUAGAGAAACACAUACGGUGACGCGGACAUGCACUCGAGCAUCCAUACGUACCUCGAUUUUGUCUUUGUCUGGGUCUUUUUCUCUUUACUUUUUUCUUCUUUGUGUCUCUAUGUGCCUAUGUAUGCGUGCGCGUGGAUGAAGAAUGUGACUUGCCUUUCCUCCAUCCCUCUCUCAUAACACACUAGGUAGCUGUUCCUGUCUUCACUCUGAGACACGCUCAGACAGACAAACAUACAUAAGCUCCAGUCUUUCCUUUUUUUUUCGACGCUUGCUAGUCCUGCGUCUGCGUCCCUUUCGACCGUGCGAGGGAUGCAGUGCAGCGGGCAGGAGUACGUGCGUGUGAGCGUGUACUUCUUUCUCUUCUUGCUCUAUUUUUUGUUUUUUUUUGUUUUCGUUUAUUUCUGUUCGACUUUGCUUGCUUUUUUUUUGCUGUUGUUGCUUUUUGUGGUUGAUUUUGCCUUUAUUUACCUUUUUUUGUUUUCGUGUUCGGUUUUUUCCCGAUUCUCUCAUGCGGCGGUUCUAGCCUCCUUUUAUGGAUCUGGCCCUUUCUGUGUGUGUGUGUGUGUUCUUGCUUGGUUGCUUGCAGGGUAUCUUAUCUGACCCUCUGGACCGCCCGGUGUGUGCACGUAUGCAUGCUUCCAGUGUUCAAACGCAAAAACUUCACGUGCACACAUACACACAUAAUGCAGAAGCCGUCGUCUGGAUUGUACUGUUGCGAGUCGUUCUCAGCACAUCUGGGUGUGUCGUCUUUUUGUUGUUGUCUCUUUGUUAGCAGCCUUCUCUAGUAUGUGUGCGUGUGUGUGUGUUUGAACUCGAUCCUCCAUGUGAGAUGCUCCCCUUUAAUGUAUCCUGCUGUGCGUGACUGGGUGCAUGUGCAUUUGCUUGUCUGCGAGUGUGCAUGUCCUUGGUUGUGGUGACGAGGCAUCUAUUUUUUUUUCCGCCUCUUUCACCUUCUUUGCCUCUCGUGUUUCUCGCCUCAACAUAGCUGUUCCGCUCUGCGCGUUAACUCAAUGUCUUUCUGACUCCGUCCACUUCUCUUUUGUUCUCCUCUGUAUGUUUGAUCUUACGUCUCUACCCCAUCACCGCUACCUUUUUUUUUUCUCUCUCUCUCUCGCUCCACAGCCAUGGCGGGUGUGCAGGUCUUUGCGAACGUGUCUUCCCCGACUAAAAAAAAAUAUUUCCGUCACCCUCCCUCUUCUGUCUUCACCCCUGCGACACUUUGCUGUUGUCUACGACGUUGUGCUCCCGAGAUAAGCAAGCUCGCUUUCUCUCGCUCCCUGUUCAGACUCCGUUUUCCUCCUCCUCUUUUCGCUCACCAACCCCCGCGCACCCCGUCUUCCCCUUGCAAGUAUUGAGGACGUGUGUGUGAGUGUGGGUGUGUCUUGACAGCUUGCGUACUACCGUCUCCUAUUUUACUGUCUUGUGUCUGUACGCAUGUUGUCAGCGCGGGUAUUUUGUCUGUCUGUCAGGGGAGAGAAGACCCUUUAGAUACUGUCAGGCUUCCCCCCUUCCCCACCCCUCUUUUCCUGUGCCACACGAGUUAUGUGGUGGGGAGAUGUGUCGCAUGCAAAAUACAUAGAGCGUGUGCCUGUGUAAGCGUACGGUUACAUUAUUUUUCCCCUCUUUGAGAGGAGGAGGGUGGUAGCGCUAAGUAGUAUGUAUGUGUACAUGUGCCUGCGUCUUUUGCCCUCCAACCACCACCGCCACUUUCUUUUUCUUCGUGUGUGCGCGCUUUUUUGGGGGGCAACGGAAAGAGGCUUAGAAGUACAGCAACGCCGUCUGCGGGAGGGGGAGCGGCUUUCGAGGCCGGCUAGCUGAUCUCCGUCUUGCUUGUCUCUUUUUCUUGCUUAUAUUACCAUCCAUUCGACCUACCCCCAACCCCGUCGCUUCUCCUUCCCACGCCGCGCACGGUUGAUACUCCUUUGUUUCCUUUCUUUGUGUGUGUGUGCGCGCGCUCAUGUGUUAUCACUGCCUUUACUUUGUUUUGCUUGCUCCUUGUUGGUCCCUCUUGUGUGGCCACGUCUUGAUUAGUUCUGUGUUUUCCGGCUCUCUUCUACUUUACCGCGCCCCUCCCUUGCGGUUCGUUUCUCUUACAUACGUGUGGGAUGGCCCAUACGCUGGGGCUUACUUUCUUUCCCCUCUUCCCUCUUUGGUUUGGUGUCGCCUCUCUUCUUUGUCUCCCUGUGGGUCUUUUCUUUCGUGUUGUUGUUGCUGAGACCUUUUCUUUUUGAAAUCGAAACGUUAUCGCUCCCCUCUAGACGCUAUCAAGACACAAGGACGACGACUUCUAUUACCGCUCUCACCGCCACUAUCACCGCACUGCACACAGAACGCAUUCAGGAUCGCUAAGCAAGUAAUGGAUGAAAAAAAAAGGAAAGCAGGCAAGUAUGGUGUGUGCGUGUGUGGCAUUCUAAGGAAGUGUAUGUGUGCCACCACCAACAAUUUCAGAAUAAAACUCUUCAUGUGUGUUUGUCUUCUUUUUCCGCAUUACUGUUGCUGGUGUGUUUUGUUCGCCCUCGUGUUUUGUUGCUUUCCAUCGUAUUGUACAAGCACGUUCCGUAUUCUCUACCACCACCACCACCUCAGUCAGUCACCGAUGUAUUCGCAAGUGUCUUCCUCACUCCCUCUCGCCGUCUAGGGCCCAUCUAUUCGCCGAUGUGUGUUCCUUUUUUUUCCUCUCUGCUGCGAGCUCUGCGAUGCUGCUCGUUUCGGCUUUUGGGGGGUUGUCACGUUGACUGUCACAGCUGUCUCUUCUCCUUGCCUUUUAACUCCCCUCUACGCUCCCUUCGGGCCCGGUAUGCAUGCUGCCUCUCUCUCUGUCUCGUUGCCGUGUAUGGUGUCUGCCUACACGUUUAUGGGAGUGCGUAUCCGUCGAUAG